AGCACUACAGGCCGGAAGUCCAACCCCCGUGCUGGCUCCUGAGGGCUCUUCUGCACCGAAGCCUGGCAAGAACCCCUCCCAGGGGAGGGCCAUGCCUGGUGACUGCUGAAUUCCGCAACGCAGGGGGAAGAAGAGCUUCCCAGAGGCUGCAGCCGCCCGCGCUCUGGGCAUCCGUCAGUCAUCGCUCAUCUACCGAAUGCCCGCGUUUCUUCACAGCCGCCUGUGGGUGCUGACUCUGCGUGGGGCUGCACUGAGGGCACCAAGCUGCCUUUGGACUUUCCUUUCUCCCUGUGGGAGCGCCAGGGGUCCCACCAACCCCUCCCCAUAAUCUUCUCAAUUGUAAAAAUUCUAGCUCUCAGCGGGGCACCUGCUGUUUAAAGCAAGAUUGCAUCUCUGCUGUCUUUGUAGCUCAGGGGACCGUGGGAGCAAACUUUGAACAAGCAGGCAGAGGUAAACAUCCCAGUUCACCUUGCAGCAGGUGCCUUCUGCAUCUGUGUCUCUGGCUGGAAUGCAGCUAUGAUGGUGGGAGCUCAAGCAGCUCUCUUGGAGUGUGAGUUUCUAGUCAACUGUAGGGGAAGGCAGAGCAAGAAGCUGAGGGGAACAGUCCCGGCAUUUGUGCAGCCGCCAGACCUGCACUUAGGCGCUUGUCCCUGAAUCACCUGUCUGAGAUAAAAAUAAACUCCCGUCUAGCUCGGC